rnacentral:misc_RNA from 1 species
GUUGCAAACACUACCAUAUCAACGAGUUGCUCUAUAUUUGUGCUGCCCAUUUUACUAAAUUUAUCAUAACCAUAUUUGGCCAAACACUUGUGACUCAUAGUCCACGAGUCUCUGGUAGAUUUUAAUGCACUGAAGAAAUAUGCAACUUUCUUAUCGAUGGCAGUUCCUUUCAUAUUUGAAAUAGGGAUGUUUGGCAAAGCUUCAAGGCACAACUUAUGUAGGUCCUCCAUACCAAUUAUU